CAGACUCCUACGGGAGGCAGCAGUAGGGAAUUUUGCGCAAUGGACGAAAGUCUGACGCAGCGACGCCGCGUGAGGGAUGACGGCCUUCGGGUUGUAACCUCUGUUGAGUGGGACGAAAACUCGUAGGGUUAAUACCCCUGCGACCUGACGGUACCACUCGAGGAAGCUCCGGCUAACUACGUGCCAGCAGCCGCGGUAAUACGUAGGGAGCAAGCGUUGUUCGGAAUCACUGGGCGUAAAGGGAGUGUAGGCGGAAAAGUAAAGUUAGGAGUGAAAUACACAGGCUUAACCUGUGGCCCGCUCUUAAUACUGCUUUUCUUGAGUAUGGGAGAGGAAGAUGGAAUUCCAGGUGUAGCGGUGGAAUGCGUAGAAAUCUGGAAGAACACCAGUAGCGAAGGCGGUCUUCUGGCCCAAGACNGACGCUGAGGCUCGAAAGCAAGGGGAGCAAACAGGAUNAGAUACCCUGGUAGUCCUAGCCGUAAACGAUGGACACUAGUUGUCGGGGGAGUCAAUCCCUUCGGUGACGAAGCUAACGCAUUAAGUGUCCCGCCUGGGGAGUACGCUCGCAAGGGUGAAACUCAAAGGAAUUGACGGGGGCCCGCACAAGCGGUGGAGCAUGUGCUUUAAUUCGAUGCAACGCGAAGAACCUUACCUGGGUUUGACAUGGGGGUGAAAGUAACCAGAGAUGGAUACCUUUCCUUCGGGAACACCCUACACAGGUGCUGCAUGGUCGUCGUCAGCUCGUGUCGUGAGAUGUUGGGUUAAGUCCCGCAACGAGCGCAACCCCUACCCUUAGUUGCCAGCGGGUUAUGCCGGGAACUCUAGGGGGACUGCCUGGACUAACCAGGAGGAAGGUGGGGAUGACGUCAAAUCCUCAUGGCCCUUACGCCCAGGGCUAGACACGUGCUACAAUGGCCGGUACAAUAGGCUGCGAACUCGCGAGAGUAAGCUAAUCCGAUAAAACCGGCCUCAGUUCGGAUUGGAGUCUGCAACUCGACUCCAUGAAGGUGGAAUCGCUAGUAAUCGCGGAUCAGCAUGCCGCGGUGAAUACGUUCCCGGGCCUUGUACACACCGCCCGUCAAGCCAUGAAAGACGGUAGUGCCCGAAGUCGUUCCCCUAACCCUCGGGAAGGGUGCGCCGAA
rnacentral:rRNA from 1 species